rnacentral:lncRNA from 1 species
AGGUACAGUAGAAGCAGUAGUGGCAAACUCAUGAGUAGAAAAGAAGGUAAAAACACACACUGAAAAUAAAGAUGUAGUCAUAAGCUAAUAUAGUUCUGUGACAGUGAAACACGAAAGAAAUACUGGCAUGUCUAUGGAAGUUUUGAAGGUGUUUAAGGGCUAGAGGUAGAAGGUGGUGGGGAGAAGAAGGAGGAGAAGGGGAGGGUUGGCAUUGAUGGCAGGUUUGGCAAUGAAGCUGCAAGAGGAGGGAGAUUGAGUGUUGGAAGUGAUGGAAAAGUUGGCAUGGUAGGGAUGGUGGGCAAAGGAGGAACAUUUCCCUGAGGCAGUGUUGGGUUUG